UUCAUCUCCAGUUUCGCUGCGGCUGCGUCCUCACAGCUCAGUACUCCGAUGGUCUCGCUCUUUAGAUUUCAAAGUCUCUUCCUUGUGUUGGAUUGUGUUGCUUUUUUUUUCUUCAUCUGGAAUGGGAGCGGGCUUCAGAGAAGAAACACUCAAACCCAAUGAGGGACAUCAAGGACCAGAAGCUCGUCCCUCAACAUCUCCAUCGGAUAAGGUGGAGAUAGUCUCACCAGAGCUACCAAGAUACCUUUUUUCCCCCUCGGUCUUGUUUCGUUCUACGUCGUUUCCCUUCUUGAAAUGUCAUCUUCUUGGUUCCCUUUUUUCUUUUUUUUUUUUUCGUUUUUACAGAUCCUGGAACAACUCAGUGGCUAAACCACUGUUUUCUCUAAAGGUAUACUUUUUUUUUCCUUACUGGUGGUUUGGUUGAAUCUUUAGCUGCGUUUGGUUGGUGAGAAGGAUUGGGGAAAAGGGAGGGGACUAAUCGCGUGUUUGGUUGCUGAGAAAAUCGAUUUUAAGUUUGUGAUAUUGCUUGGGCAUGAGGAAAUAAGUGCUUCUAUUCAACUUUGCGAAAUGCAAUUGAUUUUGGUUGUGUUGAGAUUAUUCUAGUUAUCCUUUGGAAACCGAAAUUGCACCAGAGGUUGUGUUAGAAAACUGAUAGUUUAUUUUUAUUUUUAUUUUAUGUUUUUCAGAUACCAGAAUGAGAAGGAUUUUAGUUUAUGUUAAAAUUUUAGUUUCUGGGUUGGAAAAAUAAUAAAGCUCCACCCUAAGGUUGCCUAAAUGUGUUAAUUCUGUAUCAUGAGGCUGGGUCCUUUGAUCUAAGCCUCUUGGCUGCUAAGAAAAAAAAUGUAGAAAAAGCAAAUAUGUUGAAAUUUUGAACAUUAGAUUUUUCAUUAUCUGGGACUAGAAAAAAGUCCUUUCCAGAUGUGCUCAACGCAUUAUUUUCUGGAUUCAUUUAGUUGCCUUUCUGAUUUUUGAAAUAGAAAAUCAUAAAUUGGUAGAUAUCAAGCAUUUCUUUUAUUUUAUUUCUUUAAGUUUUUUGAGCAACCAGAAGAAGCAUACAGGUUUUGAAUAUUAAACCUUUUAUUUUGCACUUGCUGAAAAGACAAAAGUUUCUUCAGCAUUAGCUGGCUACUACUUUUAGUUUAAGUUUAUAUGCGUGCAUGUUUUAAAUCAAAAUAACAUGUAGUGGGAGUAGCAGUGGGUUAUUUUUACCUGAUAUAAGUUUUUAAUAAAUCUGUUAUAAGAAAAUGUAGGAAAAGAAGAAAGGGAAAUGAAAAUUCUGCACGUUGAAAGAGAAAGCAGUGCUUGAACAAGUGGGUUUUUUCAUUUUUCAAGACUAAACAACACAAGGCAUACAUUUCAAAAUUUUCUUUUCUAUUGGUUUGUUCUUUCAGAUUGAAUUUUCUUUGAGUGUGUUUUUCUGAUCUUUCCUGCAUUUUCUCGGAGGUUCCACAUAAUAUUUUGCUUUUCUAUGCAUGUACCUCCCUCCAAAUUCAUUUUUCAUUAACAAUCUGAAAAAUCCAACAUGCACCAUCUGUUCAGAUGGACUCAUGUGAGGAUAUUAUUGCUUUGAUUUUCCUUUUUUCCCUACAAAAUUUGAAGAAAGUUGCAUUUCUUAUUUCCAAUGGUUCUCUCUGCUCUGUUGUGUUGAUGGGGGAAUACAAAGAGAUGCAAAAAGAAAUCAAUUCGAGGUACUUCAAGGACAUGUAGAUUCCUAUUUCCUAUGGAUUCCUGCAUUUUCUCGGAGGUUCCACACAAAAUAUUGCUUUUCUACACAUAUACUUCCAUCCAAAUUCAUUUUUCAUUAACAAUCUGAAAAAUCUAACAUGCGCCAUCUGUUCAGAUGGGCUCAUGUGAGGAUAUUAUUGCUUUGAUUUUCCUAUUUUUCCAAGAAAUUUCAAAGGAAGUAGCUUUUCUUAUACUUGUUUUUCAUUUUUCUUUGAUGCUCAAUGAUGAUGGAUUUGCUUUAACCACACUGAAAAGAGACUAAGGGGGUAGGGUGUAGGCUCAUAUAUUUGAGUGGCCAAAGAUGUAUCUACUGGUUGUGCUUGGGGAUGCUUGAUGACUCUUUUCUCUAACAGUUGAGAGAUUAUCUUUAGUCUCUUUCUUUUAGAGACAAGACGAAGGCGUUGUCAAUCAUUUCAGGUGGGAGCUUUUGGUGCCUAAAUUUAAGAGGCUUCUCCUCCUUUGUAAGUUCUCUCAUGUGGAAAAAUUUGGCCUUUACUCUGAGAGCACUCUGACCCUCCUUUGUACUUUUAAUCUACAAGCAUGUUUGGAUUACAAAGAAUAUGAUACAAUGCAGGAAUCUAUUUCAAUUUUACUGAAGCUGAUUGCUUAUUUAAGUAAAUUGACUGGUUGAAAUUCUCAUUCAUUGGUUUAACUUCUCAUUCAUCGAGUUUCUUGAUUGAUUUUAAUUGAGGGUUUCAGAUAUAACUACGAAGUAAGUGAAUUUUGGUUUUUUAUUUUAUUUUAUUUGGUGUUUUUGCUUAACAACUGAAAUCUCUACUUAUUUAGAGUUUCAAAGAAGGAAAGCUGUGAGUAGGUGGUUUUCUUCCUCUACUUUGUAAUGAGGUAGGACUUUUUGAGUUCUGUAGAGUGGUUAUAAGGAUUCUUUACCUUAUAGAACUGAAAAAGUAAAUGACUAUGGGAUGAUUUUUUUUGCUUCUUGUUGAUGAUUUGAUUGGAAUUGUUGAAAAAUAAAAAUAGGUUGAAAUUUGGGGAGGAUGGUAUUAAUGUUCUGGUGCUUUUACUCCAAGUUAAAUAUUUGAUUGAUGAAAAAAAUUCUGCUUGAAUUUGAAGUAAAUUCUAUGGAAAUAACUUUUUGUAUUGGGGAACCAAAUUCCUCUUUUUCAUCUUUGAAUAUUUCACUUUAGGAACUGUCUUCUUAAAACCCUAAAAUUGAAAUUCGGGCCCCAAACUUCAACCUUUUUUAGUAAGUAAAAAACACAUGGAUAUCCCAUUUGGCUUAAAUGAACAAGCCAUCGUUACCAACAAAUAAAUCAUACGUGUGAAAACCGCUAUUCAAACAGAACAUUUGUUAUCAGUUUUCUGGGAGGAGAUUCCUUGGUACGAAUGUCUGUGGUGUUCUAAUUAAUCAUGUAAAUAGACAAUACAUUGUUUCCAUCUUUUCACAAUAGUACUUGCAUGUGAGGUGACAUUUUUUAAGUUGAAGAGAGUGAUUGAAGGAUAUUUUGUUUUAGAUCGACGAUAUUUAAAUAUCUUACUCUGCUUUAGCUACAUGUCCAAUUAAUCAUGUAAUAAACAGUAUACCAUUUCCAUCAUUUUACAAUAGUACUUGAAGGUGACAUGACAUUUUUUAAGUUGAAGAGAAUGCUUGAUGGAUAUUUUGUUUUAAAUUGACAAUAUUCAAAUAUCUUAUAAAACCACAAGUUUCAACUUUCAAUAUGCCUAUAAAUAUGAUAUUCAACACCAUCCUUUUCUAUAUAUGCUACUAAUGAAGGAUCUUAGUUAAUUACAAUUUAAUGGUUUGAUUGUUUGUUUGUUUGUAGAAGACUAGACGAAUUGAUUAUUGUUUGGGAAAUUGCUAAUCACCAUAAAGUUAUCGAGGAUACUCUUGAGAUAUAUUUUGCCCAUCUGAAACAAGUAUGCAGAAAAUAUUAUAAAUGGAAGAAAGGUUGAAACUCGCCAUCGUACAUCAAGAGUAUACAAAGGGAGCCCAGCGGAAAGAACAAGGAAAAAGAAGGGCAAGGAACAAACUACUUGGCUCCUAACCAACCUACAAAAUUGAUCAAAGGCAAGAAUUCCUUCUAAUGAAUCCUAACAUGGUCUAAUAAGGAAAGUAAAAGAGCAUACUUAAGCGCUUGAUCCAGAGUUUCCACGUCUUCAAAAGACCUUUGAUUUCUUUCAUGCCAAAUGACCCAAAAAAGGCAUAAAGGGGCAGCUAGCCAAGCUUUCUUCCAUUUUUUCCCUACUUGUAUACCCCACUCCAGCUUAGCAACGUCAAUCUAACCAAAGAAUGCAUCAUCCACCACAACCCAAAUAACGAGAAAAUCAACUGUAACUGAUAACUAGUUGUAAUACAGUGUAGAAGCAAGUGGUUGAGGGACUCCUCCUCCCUUGUACACAGAAAGCUGGAAAUUCUUCUUCGUGGACCUUAUUUUGUACUAUAGGACUUUGUUCAAUAUAUGUAUCUCAAAUGAACUUGAAAUCUUAAUUUAUUUGAUCUUUCCUAUGACAUGCUUACAUGUAAUCGAUAUUUUUUAAGUAAUUUUCCAAUUCUAAUAUGUGUUUCUAUUUCUUAAAUUAAUCCGCCAUUCGGAGCUACCUUGGUUUUAAUUGUUAAUCAUGUUGAUACUUGAAAUUGGUGAAAAAAUUAAAAUAUUUGAACAAAAAGAUACCAUUAGUUAAGGGAAGAACAAAAGGAGUUAAAGGUUACAGGUAGCCUAACUUGAACCCCAAGUGAAAUAGAAAUUGACAAGAGAUUAUAGAAUUGGUAUUUCUUUAUUUUUCUAUUUCUCCUUAUUAUGUGCGCUAUUGCCUUUGUAGUUUGUAUUGUUACAAAAUCAUAUUGAGAAUGAGUUUAUAGACACUUUUAUCUCUACAUGAACACCAUCAUAUUAGAAACUUUCACAUAUGUUUGAUCUUUUCAUAUACUAAGAAAAUCUAAGCCCUUUACAUUUGUUUGAUCUUGUCAUGUAGUUACAUCAGACCCAAAUGAUCAAUGUUGUAAAUUUCAUUGCAUAUAAUCCAAAUUAUUAGUUACAUGCUCGUAGGUUUGAUGUUCAGGUUUGAUCUAUAAUCAAUUACUUAAUUUAUAUUACCUGUUUUGUUGUUGUAGGAUUAAUGUUCAAGUGUUAACAAUUUUGGGGUUUUGUAGAGAGCGAUACUUGAAGAUAUAUGCUAGAAAUUUUGGUUGUAUAUAUAUUGGAUGAAUUGGUUAUACAUGCAUGUGUUUUAUACAUGUUUUAAAUUUAAAUCUAUGUAUCUUAUCUCAUGUAUUUAUUCAUUUAUUUUUUUUAA